AAUAUUUCUCACUGAAUGGCAAGGUACCAGAAAAGGUGCACAAUUAUAUUUUCAUGGACAAAUUUUGCAAGACUACAAGAUAAUCUUUCCAAAGAAAAUCACACCAUGGAUGCACUCUCAGCCACUUUUGAAAUGAAGGUUCAACUUGACUGGACCUCUGAAGACAGACUGAAGAAGAAGAUCGAUUGGCCUUUCCAGGAAAAACUGAAGAUGAACACUAAUUCACAGAAAAACGAAAUACCCUCAACCUAAGGUAUCUCCUCAAUUCUUCCAAAUAAUGAGCCCUGUUCGUCUCUCCUAAUGCACUGAACCUGUGUAAAAUGAAGGCAUUUGAAAACUA